rnacentral:rRNA from 1 species
UACGUAGGAGACGAGCGUUGUCCGGAGUUACUGGGCGUAAAGGGUGCGCAGGCGGCCUGGCGCGUCGCGAGUGAAAUCUCCUGGCUCAACUGGGAGGGUGGUCGCGGAGACGGCUGGGCUUGAGGCUCGGUGAGGGGCGUGGAAUUCCGGGUGGAGCGGUGAAAUGCGUAGAGAUCCGGAGGAACACCGACGGCGUAGGCAGCGCCCUAGACGAGACCUGACGCUCAGGCACGAAAGCGCGGGGAGCGAACAGG